rnacentral:tmRNA from 1 species
GCCCUUUCCCUCAAGCGCCGGAGACCUUAUGUUACACCUGUUCCUUCGGGGACUAUGGGGAUAAACGCCCACGUAAUAAGCGGACUGGACCCGGGUGCGAUUCCCGGCGGCUCCACCAUUUCCCUCCGUUUGCGGAGCCUAUGGGGCCGAUCAGCAUCGACAGACGUGUAAAGGUGUAGCCUUCCCUCAGUUUGAGCCUCUGUGAUCGGCUCAAAAUUAUAGUUGCGAACGAUAACUUCGCUUCGGAUCAAGCUCUUGCUGCGUAAUGCGGCGGAUCUAAUCCACCUCAACUCCUAGGGCUUAAGCUCCCUAGGCGGGGCCCGGCGAGGGCCUGGCAACAGAACCUCGCCACU